rnacentral:tRNA from 1 species
GGUAAUAUAGUUUAUUUAAAACUUAAAGAUUGCAAAUCUUUUAAUAUACUCAGUAUUGUUACUU